UCGCGGCUUAUCACCGGCAGUCCCCCUAGAGUGCCCAACUGAAUGAUGGCAACUAGGGGCGAGGGUUGCGCUCGUUGCGGGACUUAACCCAACAUCUCACGACACGAGCUGACGACAGCCAUGCAGCACCUGUGUUCCAGCCAGCCGAACUGAAGGGACCCAUCUCUGGGCCCCAUACUGGACAUGUCAAAGGUUGGUAAGGUUCUGCGCGUUGCUUCGAAUUGAACCACAUGCUCCACCGCUUGUGCGGGCCCCCGUCAAUUCCUUUGAGUUUCAACCUUGCGGUCGUACUCCCCAGGCGGGGCACUUAAUGCGUUAGCUUCGGCACGGAGGGAGUCGACACCCCCCACACCUAGUGCCCAUCGUUUACAGCGUGGACUAC
rnacentral:misc_RNA from 1 species